rnacentral:lncRNA from 1 species
AAUAAACUAAAAAUAUUGAUAGGUCAUGGACCUCCUUUUCGAGAUAUUUGAGAUUUAAAAUAUGGCGGGAAAAGGCUGACUCGGACUUUUACCUUUACUUGCAUUGAUAUUAUUUGGGUCUCAAAACCAAAGAAAGAAAAUCAAGAAUCUUCUAAAAUUUUGGUAAAUGACCUUUCAUGAGCUAAUAAAUCUUAUGUGAACAAAUAAAUGGGUGUUAUGGGGC